UGAGGAAUAUUGGUCAAUGGGCGCAAGCCUGAACCAGCCAAGUAGCGUGCAGGAAGACGGCCCUAUGGGUUGUAAACUGCUUUUAUACGAGAAUAAUUUGAUGCACGUGUGCGUUAUUGCAUGUAUCGUAUGAAUAAGGACCGGCUAAUUCCGUGCCAGCAGCCGCGGUAAUACGGAAGGUCCAGGCGUUAUCCGGAUUUAUUGGGUUUAAAGGGAGUGUAGGCGGUUUGUUAAGCGUGUUGUGAAAUUUAGGUGCUCAACAUUUAACUUGCAGCGCGAACUGGCGAACUUGAGUGCACAUAACGUAUGCGGAAUUCAUGGUGUAGCGGUGAAAUGCUUAGAUAUCAUGAAGAACUCCGAUUGCGAAGGCAGCAUACGGGAGUGUAACUGACGCUUAAGCUCGAAGGUGCGGGUAUCGAACAGGAUUAGAUACCCUGGUAGUCCGCACAGUAAACGAUGGAUGCCCGCUGUUAGCGCCUGGCGUUAGCGGCUAAGCGAAAGCAUUAAGCAUCCCACCUGGGGAGUACGCCGGCAACGGUG
rnacentral:rRNA from 1 species